rnacentral:rRNA from 1 species
GAUGAACGCUGGCGGCGUGCCUAAUACAUGCAAGUCGAGCGAACAGACGAGGAGCUUGCUCCUCUGACGUUAGCGGCGGACGGGUGAGUAACACGUGGAUAACCUACCUAUAAGACUGGGAUAACUUCGGGAAACCGGAGCUAAUACCGGAUAAUAUAUUGAACCGCAUGGUUCAAUAGUGAAAGACGGUUUUGCUGUCACUUAUAGAUGGAUCCGCGCCGCAUUAGCUAGUUCGUAAGGUAACGGCUUACCAAGGCAACGAUGCGUAGCCGACCUGAGAGGGUGAUCGGCCACACUGGAACUGAGACACGGUCCAGACUCCUACGGGAGGCAGCAGUAGGGAAUCUUCCGCAAUGGGCGAAAGCCUGACGGAGCAACGCCGCGUGAGUGAUGAAGGUCUUCGGAUCGUAAAACUCUGUUAUUAGGGAAGAACAAAUGUGUAAGUAACUAUGCACGUCUUGACGGUACCUAAUCAGAAAGCCACGGCUAACUACGUG